CGGGUACUGCCCCUCUCGUGUCUGGCACUUUUCCAGUGGCCGAUAAGCAUUUCCGAGGGAGCUGGCUCUGCGCGGAUCGUGGUCCACGCAUCUGGCGCCCACCUGGUAACACCAGGCUCUCGGGAAAAACACGCCUGCACGGUUGCCGCGGUUCCCGC
rnacentral:other from 1 species